UUGAACAGCAGAGUCAGAAAUUAGGAUAAUUUGCCCACUAAAACCUGAGAUAAUUUUGCAACUUUUUUGGCAUAUAUGAUUUUUUAUGGAGGCUAUAUCCUAAUGAGGCUUCUCAUGGAAAGCAGGAAAAAUCAACAGUCAAGAUAUCCUUUUCAAUCAUAUGUAAAUACAAAACCAAACUGUACUUUUGGUAUAGUUUCAGUUCGGCUUCUUCGAUGUUUUGAUUCUGGUUCAGUUUGAUUUUUAGUGCUUCAGUUCCAGUUACGGUUUUGGUCCUGAAACAGGUUUUAUACAAUUAUUGUAAUGGAAAGUCAUGCUUGGAUUAUCAUUUAAGCUUUAAAAUUAGUUGCUAAUACACAAUAUAUUAUAUAAUAUACAUUUCAAUUAUUUAUUAAUUAUAAG
rnacentral:misc_RNA from 1 species